GACGAACGCUGGCGGCGUGCCUAAUACAUGCAAGUCGAGCGAAUCAAAGGGAGCUUGCUCCCUGAGGUUAGCGGCGGACGGGUGAGUAACACGUGGGCAACCUGCCUAUAAGACUGGGAUAACUUCGGGAAACCGGAGCUAAUACCGGAUAAUUCAUAUCUACUCAUGUAGACAUGCUGAAAGACGGUUUACGCUGUCACUUAUAGAUGGGCCCGCGGCGCAUUAGCUAGUUGGUGAGGUAACGGCUCACCAAGGCGACGAUGCGUAGCCGACCUGAGAGGGUGAUCGGCCACACUGGGACUGAGACACGGCCCAGACUCCUACGGGAGGCAGCAGUAGGGAAUCUUCCGCAAUGGACGAAAGUCUGACGGAGCAACGCCGCGUGAGUGAUGGAGGUUUUCGGAUCGUAAAACUCUGUUGUUAGGGAAGAACAAGUACUAGAGUAACUGCUAGUACCUUGACGGUACCUAACCAGAAAGCCACGGCUAACUACGUGCCAGCCGCCGCAGUAA
rnacentral:rRNA from 1 species